CAUUUAUCACGAUUUUGCUGCCAUGAUUUCUUAAAAUUUCUCCCAUUUUGUGCAGUGUGAAAAUUUCCUUAAUUAUCAAAGUUGGAUCUCCAUGAUCAAUCUUGUAUGUCAUAAAUGGAAUAUUUCUGCACAGCACAUAGCAGCUAGGAGCUUUAUCCAUUGGAUGUAUCAAAUUAAUAUACAAUUUUGCAAGAAAUUCUUCAAUGCCAACACUGAAGUCUACCAGGAACGCAACCCUAGCUACAUGUGGCGUAGUGCGAUGGCUGCCCUCCCUGUUCCGAUCAAUUGUUGUCAAUGGCGUUUGGGUUCCGGGGCUGUGAUAUCAUUGUGGCGAUAUCCCUGGCUCCCUGACUUGCAGCAUCCACUGGUUUCAUCCAGUGCGCCAAAUGGCUAAGAAGAUCUCCUCGUCUGCGAUUUGAUGUUAAACUCAGGAAUGCAGUGGAAUUGGGACUUCAUCAGGUCUUUGUUUGAUCAGAGGGACGUUGCGUUAAUUGAGAAAUCCCGCUAAGCUCUCAGAGAAGAGUCGAUUCCUGCAGUUGGGCCCUUGAGACCAAUGGAGUGUACCCAGUUACGAGCGCUUAUCAUGGCAUGUCUUGACAAAUUGACGAUGCCCCCGCUGUGAUUCUUUUUGGAAGCAAUUGUGGAGUUUGAAUAUCCCUCCAAAGGUACAGAAUCUGGUUUGGAGAUUGUGUUCAGGCUACGUGCCUACCUGAGUUAAGGUUGCUUAGCAGAGAUUUUGAUGUGGACAGCGUGUGGCCAGGAUGUUCCAACGCAGAAGAGAGUUUUGAGCAUGCUUUUAUUCGGUGUCGUUUGGCUUGGGACUGUUGGUCCAAUUCUGUGCCUAUUGUUUUUGGGUUUUCCCCGCCUAAUCUCCAUAUAUGGAUUCGUGAAGUCUUUCAGGACCGCCAGAUGGUGUGCAUGAUCUUUUGGGUUUUAUGAAAAAAUAGAAAUGAGGUGCUCUGAAAAGGCAGUCACAAUAACGCUUCAGCUCCUUUUUUUUUUUCAGCUUCCUCCAAUUUGCAUCAAUGGUUAGCAGCUCGGGUAAGUGGGAAUCCUUCUCCCUCGGAAUUCAGUUGCGAGAGCUGGGGACGUUUCUAUGAAAUGGCACAAACCUGCUUCAGGUUUUCUGGAAUGCAAUACAGAUGCAGCUCUUCGAUUGCAGAAUAGAAUUGGAGCGGAUUGGAUCCUGCAAGACGAUAGGGGCUGUUGAUUAAAGCUUGUCAGACUGAGCUUCAAGGUCCUCCUGAUCCUAAAAUAAUUGAAGCUGUGUCUUUCUGUGAAGCCCUCAGUUGGAUUAAAAACCAAGUCCCGCCGAGUGUGCAAUUUGAAUCUGAUUCCCUGCUUUGUCCAAGCUUUUCUUCUUCUUCUUCUUAAUUUUUUUUUUUCAAAGAAAAUGCACUUAAACAGUCAGAAAUGGCAUCAGAGUACAAUAAAGAGGCCAAAUGGUCAGGAAUAACAACUAGCCAAUUACAAGAUAAGACUCUUGAAAGAAACAAUUUUGCAAGGUGGUCUGCUGCUCUAUUUGUAGUUCUUUUUACAAGAAACUUGAGAAAAAUGGGAUAAAAGGCCUUUAAUGGAUAACAAAGUAGCACUAAUUUCCCACAACUUUAAAUCCUCCAAAUUAGAACCAACAUCAAACAAAAUAGCAGAAUAAAUCUCUAAAAUGAUGGCUCUGGCAUUAAUAGCCAAAUCUAGCUUUAUAGCAAGAAGCAAAGCACAAGCUUCACCUGUAAGAGGAGAGGAGGCUUGAAUGAAGCUAACCAUACCAUCUAGCAAACGCCAUUGAGAGUUUCUCACUAUGAUAGUUACAACUGCUCUAGAAUUUGCAUCCCUCCGCGCUACAUCACUGUUAAACUUGAUAAAGCCUUGAGGAGGAGUGGGGGUGGGGGGACCAAUUCACAUUUACCACCCUGCGAGCGAGGGAAGAUGACAUGGGGGUAGAAUUCUGAAGAAGCUGAGACCGUUCAUUUGACAAUUUUUGCGAUACGGAUAGCAAUUGCAAUAGGAUUAGGGACAAAGCUCUCAUAGACAACCUAAUUUCUUUGCUUCCAAAUAAUCCAACAAGAUAUAGCAAUAUCCGUUUGAAAUUAUUGAACCAAGGAUGCCCACCAAUUAGAGAAAGAUGUGAAACCAAUUGGAUUCGGUUUAUAGGAGCUAGGACUUGCAAUCCAUGUUGCCCUUGUGUGAUUGCACCAAAAGAGAGUGUGCCCUAUAGAUUCCUCAUCUGCAUCGCAAAUAGGACACAAAGGGCAGAGAGGAAUACCUCUUUCAGCAAGAUUGCUUCGAACAGGAGGGCAUUUAGAAGAGCUUUCCACAUGAAUCCUUUCAUCUUUGUUAGAUGGACAAUCUCCACGUUUUCCACCACACACUUCCUGAAAUAACUAUCGAAUUGCUAGAUCUGUUUGAUAAGAUUUGCUGCUUAUUUCUAGAAAGCAACCCAUACCCAGACUUGAUAGAAUAUGGCCCAAAAUCAUCGAAGUGCCAAACGAUAGAAUCAUUGUUUCCCAAAAGGGAAAUCGGAAUAGUUAUAGUGACUUGGGCGGCUUCUAUAUAAAAGGGAGUGCUAAUGAGCUUAUAUUUCCAUUGAAGUGAAUCAUGGUCAAUGAGAUCCACAACCAAAUUCACAUUAGGCGAGCAAUGAGGAGGUCUAUUGACCAUGAAACUUGUGAUACGAGGAAUCCAUGGAUCAAAUCAAAUGAGAGUUUGCCUACCAUCCCUGAUGUUGUGUCUAAAUCCCUCUUUCAACACAUUCCUACCAACCAAGGGCUCUGCCGAAUCUAAGAACUCCGCUUAGAAGAAGCUAGUCAAAAGGAAGAGUGAGGAAAAUAAAAGCCCUUUAGUAUACGCCCAGCAUUGCUUUGCUAGACAAGUAAGAUUAAAUGACUCAAAAACAGUUAUGGAAAUACCACCUAAAGCUUUUGGGGUAGAAGCACCCUUUCAACUAAUCCAAUGCAUCUUUCUUUUCUUUAUCCUUUCUCUCCCACAAAAGAUUAGAGAGAGUGCUAUUUAGC
rnacentral:misc_RNA from 1 species